AACCUAUGGUGAGGGCACCUUCUUUAAAGGUCCUUGUAUCUCUCCCAUGCAUCGUAGAAUGUUUCUAAUCCAUCUGCACAAAAGAAGAGAUAUCAUUACGUAAUUU
rfam:Gossypium arboreum cultivar AKA8401 contig_116575_1, whole genome shotgun sequence.